AUGAGGAGCUCUUGCGUCUGCCUCAUCCUCCUGUACUGCUGUUCAUGGCUGUGCUGCCUCUCCCAAGCCCAGAUGUCAAUUAAUCCGCCCCUGAAUCCGGUUUCUCCUCGCCCCCGAAUCCGGGCGGUGAACCUUGGCGGCUGGCUCGUCACCGAGGGCUGGAUCCUGCCCUCCCUCUUUGACGACAUCCCCAACAAAGAUCUCCUGGAUGGCACACAGCUGCAGUUCAAGUCCGUGACGCAGAACGCCUAUGUGGCCGCAGAGCAGGGCGGCGGCGCCGCCCUGAUCGCGAACUGGGCUUCAGCCUCUGGCUGGGAGACCUUCAAGCUCUGGCGGAUCGACCAGACGACCUUCAACUUCAAGGUGUUCGGCAACCAGUUCGUGGGCGUCGGGAGCACCGGCGUUGUGGUGGCAAUGGUGACCACGCCGGGGCCGUCCGAGACGUUCAAGUUAGUGCGCAAUGACAACAACCAGAAUAGGAUGAGGAUCAGAGCACCAAAUGGGCUCUUCCUGCAGUUCAAUUUUGUUGAUUCCAUGUCUGGCACUUGGCAGAACCAUUGGUACACAUACAUCGUGGAAGACGACUUCAGCUUCAUGGCGGCAAACGGUCUUAACGCAGUAAGGAUCCCGGUGGGAUGGUGGAUCGCCAGCGACGAUAACCCUUCAGAUGGAGGCUCUCUCCAAGCUUUGGACAACGCCUUCAGAUGGGCAGAGUACGGCACACAAGCUGGGCGUGAUCAUAGACUUGCAUGCAGCUCCUGGGGGCAGAGCCCCAAUGAGCACUGCUCUACAAGGGACAGCACACAGAGCUGGGGAACCACCGACUCCAACAUUGCGCAAACCGUGCAAGUGAUUGAUUUCCUCGCAGCUAGGUAUGCUGGGAGACCAGGCCUGCUCGCGGUGGAGCUGAUUACGAGCCGCUGGCUCCUGGUGUGUCCCUGGAUAGCCAGAAAAGGAUGCCAGAAUUAUUCUGGAAGCUUUUUGGAAUUUUCUGAGAUAAAAACCGGAAAUGUUCCGGAGCUGCCGGAGCCACUUCAGAUGCGUUUCGCAGAUGAAAAUCACUAA
rnacentral:rRNA from 1 species